CGGGUGGUGGUUGGGAGUUGGUGCUGAUAAUGGACUUAAAAGUGUAAGCAUCUUUUGCACUGAAGUGCAUAAACUUCACAUAACACAAAUAAAAAGUGCAUCGAAGAGCCCAAGAGAACUAUGAUUAACAUGAAUGUAUUUAUACUAUACCAUCAACUCAAUCCCAAAUUCCCUAUAAAAUACAAGUAGACGGACUAAUUAAAAUAUAUUAACUAUGUCUAGCAAGAAUAAACCAAUUCCAUAUAAUCUCCACAUCAUUGAGGAUCAUUCAACCAUUUUCUCCCUAAUAAACCACAAUAACACAGAAAAGAAUUCUUUUUGGUACCUGACCUCGAGCUACUGAAUAGCAUCUACUGCUAGAGGUCAGGAAUUAGUUUAGUAUGAUCCACUCCUUCUAAAGCCCAGAAUAUAAGACAAAAUUAAUCUACAUAUCAGUCAUGUAUGGAUUUGAAAAAG
rnacentral:misc_RNA from 1 species